rnacentral:rRNA from 1 species
AGUGAACGCUGGCGGCAGGCCUAACACAUGCAAGUCGAGCGGCAGCGCGGGGGCAACCCUGGCGGCGAGCGGCGGACGGGUGAGGAAUUCGUCGGAAUCUGCCUUUUUGUGGGGGAUAACGUAGGGAAACUUACGCUAAUACCGCAUACGACCUACGGGUGAAAGUGGGGGACCGCAAGGCCUCACGCAGAAAGAUGAGCCGACGACCGAUUAGCUAGUUGGUGGGGUAAAGGCCUACCAAGGCGACGAUCGGUAGCUGGUCUGAGAGGAUGAUCAGCCACACUGGGACUGAGACACGGCCCAGACUCCUACGGGAGGCAGCAGUGGGGAAUAUUGGACAAUGGGCGCAAGCCUGAUCCAGCCAUGCCGCGUGUGUGAAGAAGGCCUUCGGGUUGUAAAGCACUUUUGUCCGGAAAGAAAUCUUCCAACUUAAUACGUUGGGAGGAUGACGGUACCGGAAGAAUAAGCACCGGCUAACUUCGUGCCAGCCGCCUCAGUAACAC